rnacentral:rRNA from 1 species
AUUGAACGCUGGCGGCAUGCCUUACACAUGCAAGUCGAACGGUAACGGGCCUUCGGGUGCCGACGAGUGGCGGACGGGUGAGUAAUACAUCGGAACGUGCCCGAUCGUGGGGGAUAACGAGGCGAAAGCUUUGCUAAUACCGCAUACGAUCUACGGAUGAAAGCAGGGGACCGCAAGGCCUUGCGCGGACGGAGCGGCCGAUGGCAGAUUAGGUAGUUGGUGGGAUAAAAGCUUACCAAGCCGACGAUCUGUAGCUGGUCUGAGAGGAUGAUCAGCCACACUGGGACUGAGACACGGCCCAGACUCCUACGGGAGGCAGCAGUGGGGAAUUUUGGACAAUGGGCGCAAGCCUGAUCCAGCCAUGCCGCGUGCAGGAUGAAGGCCUUCGGUUUGUAAACUGCUUUUGUACGGAACGAAAAGCCUUCUUUUAAUACAGGAGGGUCAUGACGGUACCGUAAGAAUAAGCACCGGCUAACUACGUG